UACGUAGGGUGCGAGCGUUGUCCGGAAUUAUUGGGCGUAAAGAGCUCGUAGGCGGCCUGUCGCGUCGGAUGUGAAAGCCCGGGGCUUAACCCCGGGUCUGCAUUCGAUACGGGCAGGCUAGAGUUCGGUAGGGGAGAUCGGAAUUCCUGGUGUAGCGGUGAAAUGCGCAGAUAUCGGGAAGAACACCCGUGGCGAAGGCGGCUCUCUGGGACGGUACUGACGCUGAGACGCGAAAGCGUGGGGAGCGAACAGG
rnacentral:rRNA from 1 species